rnacentral:lncRNA from 1 species
AGAGUCGGAGCCCGACACAAAGGCGGUGGCGGCGGCAGCAGCGGAGGGGCCCUAGAGCCCGCUCCGCUGGGGCUCUCCGGGCCCACCUCCCUCACUUCGGCCACCGGCGCGGCCGCCCACCCGCGGGUCUAAGAUGGCGGCGGCAACAGAGACAGGGCAAGCGGCAGUCCCGAGCAGAAAGCGCCGGAGGGGCCGCCGCCCCCCAGCUUCGGAUCCCCAGACCCUGGCGCGGCUCGCUGCGGGACCAUGGCUUCCUGGGACUCUUACCUGCCCGGAGCGGACUGGAGGGGACGCGGCUACACGUUCUGCUCGACCGCCCGUUUUGCCGCCUCCGCCUCGCCCUCCCCAGCGCCGCUGCCGCCAUCUUGUGUCCCGGGCCGGGACUCCGCGCUGCGCAUGCGCUGGUACCGCCUCUGAGGGACCUCGCCGCGGCCGCGCCGCCAUCUUGAGUGUGGCAGGGUCGGCUGGCUCCUCGCACCCAGCUUGCUUUCGGCCCCCUCCCCUUCUUCCCAUCCGUCCCUGCUGUUCCUUGUGGCGCUGAGGAAGGGGAGACAGCUUUGUAGGCCUGCGGGUGGACUGAGGAAGGAAUGAAUUCACUGGCACGUCCCCGCCUCAGUUUCCCCCUCGAGCACACACGCAGGAGCCGGAUGUUCGCGGUGGGCGGUGCGCGGCGGGGUUGGACUGAGCGUGCGCACUGGGGGGCGUGGGGGCUGUCUUAGAACCUGCGGGGGUCUCGGGUUCUGCCGCCGGCCCAGGGGAGGCAUCGUGGUGACGUAGGCUCCGGACGUAGCAAGGACCUGGGUCCUGGCACCCGCGCGGCUCUGCCUCUUCCAGCCAGUCUCUUUCCCUCUCUGGGCCUUUGUGCUGCGUGGUGUCCAAAUGUUAAGAAGCCCUGCCCCAUGCCCGGGCUACAUAUACAUCGAACCCAAGCUGUAAAUGCUCUUGAGUAGAAGCAACUUAAACUAGCCUUCGGGGGCAAGUAAUAGAGAUGGCUUUCGGCAGAGUUGGGAAAUCAACUAAAUGCAUUGUAGGGCCUUUCCAACAUUGACAUCUGUGGCCAUUAGUUGCAGUUCAAAGCCUCACUGAGCCCUCAAACCAGCUACAGCGGGUAGCCUGGCAGGGAACUGGCAGCUGUGAGGUGCUCCUCAUCCGGCUCCCUGCAGGAUUCUUUUUGGUAGGAGCCUGCAGGCGUCCGAGUGGUAGCUCCACCCAUCUCCGGUCUCCCCAGCAAGCAUCCCUUCCAGUGCUAGCUUGAGAAGAGGAAAAGCUUGCCACCUGCUGUCAGACCGGCGCUUGUGUGGAGCCAGGGGCUGUAGGUACCCCGGCUGAGUAGCCUCUCAGAUGUCCAUGGUCCUGGCUGCACGCCAGCGUGGGGGCAGGCAGGCGGACGCUCAAGAAAAACGGAGGCACCGAUAUGAGUAGUAAUUGAGAACGAGGGUUCAUGAUCCUCAUCUGAUUUCAAUCCCUGCUCCUCCACCCAAAAUGUGUGGCCUUGAAGGAGUUAACCAAUUUAAAUUUUAGUUUCCUCAGUGGAAGAUAAUAAAUCCGCCUACCUCAUAAAGGUUUGGUGAGAAUUAA